GAUGAAGAACGUAGCGAAAUGCGAUACUUGGUGUGAAUUGCAGAAUCCCGUGAACCAUCGAGUCUUUGAACGCAAGUUGCGCCUGAAGCCAUUAGGCCGAGGGCACGCCUGCCUGGGCGUCACACGUCGUUGCCCCCCCAUCUACUCCUUCGGGAUUGCGGGGGGCGGAUGAUGGCCUCCCGUGCGCCUCGUCGCGCGGUUGGCAUAAAUGCCAAGUCCUCGGCGACGCACGCCACGACAAUCGGUGGUGGCGAAACCUCGGUUGCCCGUCGUGUGCGGUCGUCGCGCAUCGAGGGCUCGAAAAAAUUGCCGGGCUCCGGCUCGGCUUUCAACGCGACCCCAGGUCAGGCGGGGUUACCCGCUGAAUUUAAGCAUAUCAAUAAGCGGAGGA
rnacentral:misc_RNA from 1 species